AAUGAACGCUGGCGGCAGGCCUAACACAUGCAAGUCGAACGGAUCCUUCGGGAUUAGUGGCGGACGGGUGAGUAACGCGUGGGAACGUACCCCUUUCUUCGGAAUAGCCUCGGGAAACUGGGAGUAAUACCGGAUAAGCCCUAUUGGGGAAAGAUUUAUCGGGAAGGGAUCGGCCCGCGUUGGAUUAGGUAGUUGGUGGGGUAAUGGCCUACCAAGCCGACGAUCCAUAGCUGGUUUGAGAGGAUGAUCAGCCACACUGGGACUGAGACACGGCCCAGACUCCUACGGGAGGCAGCAGUGGGGAAUCUUAGACAAUGGGGGAAACCCUGAUCUAGCCAUGCCGCGUGAUCGAUGAAGGCCUUAGGGUUGUAAAGAUCUUUCAGUGGGGGAAGAUAAUGACGGUACCCACAGAAGAAGCCCCGGCUAACUCCGUGCCAGCAGCCGCGGU
rnacentral:rRNA from 1 species